rnacentral:rRNA from 1 species
UACGGAGGGUGCAAGCGUUAUCCGGAUUCAUUGGGUUUAAAGGGUCCGUAGGCGGUUUAGUAAGUCAGUGGUGAAAGCCCAUCGCUCAACGGUGGAACGGCCAUUGAUACUGCUAGACUUGAAUUAUUGGGAAGUAACUAGAAUAUGUAGUGUAGCGGUGAAAUGCUUAGAGAUUACAUGGAAUACCAAUUGCGAAGGCAGGUUACUACCAAUGGAUUGACGCUGAUGGACGAAAGCGUGGGUAGCGAACAGG